rnacentral:rRNA from 1 species
GACGAACGCUGGCGGCGUGCUUAAUACAUGCAAGUCGAACGGCAGCACGGGUGCUUGCACCUGGUGGCGAGUGGCGAACGGGUGAGUAAUAUAUCGGAACGUACCUUAUUGUGGGGGAUAACGCAGCGAAAGCUGUGCUAAUACCGCAUAAUCCCUAAGGGGGAAAGCGGGGGACCGUAAGGCCUCGCGCAAUUAGAGCGGCCGAUACCUGAUUAGCUAGUUGGUGAGGUAAAGGCUCACCAAGGCAACGAUCAGUAGCUGGUCUGAGAGGACCAUCAGCCACACUGGGACUGAGACACGGCCCAGACUCCUACGGGAGGCAGCAGUGGGGAAUUUUGGACAAUGGGGGCAACCCUGAUCCAGCAAUGCCGCGUGAGUGAAGAAGGCCUUCGGGUUGUAAAGCUCUUUUGUCAGGGAAGAAACAGCAGCUCUAACACAGUUUGCGAAUGACGGUACCUGAAGAAUAAGCACCGGCUAACUACGUGCCAGCCGCCGCAGUAA